rnacentral:rRNA from 1 species
CAGUCGUACCGGCAGAUAAUCAGCCUUUCGGGUGCGAUUCUGUGGGGCGUGAGGAGCUUAACCGCCUUCAUGUUUUGCAUAUUCGUGCGCAUUUGGUGUACUUGUCCGUGUGGUGGGUUAACAUCAAUUUCGGGCGCCAUAAAAUGGCUGGAGGAAUGUAGCUUCGAUCUCGUAUUGAAGUGUUAUAGCCUUUCGGUAGAUUGGUGGG